rnacentral:rRNA from 1 species
UCUACGGAGAGUUUGAUUCUGGCUCAGAACGAACGCUGGCGGCGUGGAUAAGACAUGCAAGUCGAACGGAGAAUUUCAAUAGCUUGCUAAUGAAAUUCUUAGUGGCGGACGGGUUAGUAACACGUGAGAAUCCUACCCUUGAGUGGGGAAUAGCCUUUCGAAAGGAAGAUUAAUGCCCCAUAGUCUCUACGGAGUAAAGAUGCCUUCGGGUGUCGCUUAAGGAUGGGCUCGCGGCCUAUCAGCUAGUUGGUGAGGUAAGAGCUCACCAAGGCAACGACGGGUAGCUGGUCUGAGAGGACGAUCAGCAACACUGGAACUGAGACACGGUCCAGACACCUACGGGUGGCAGCAGUCGAGAAUCAUUCACAAUGGACGAAAGUCUGAUGGUGCAACGCCGCGUGGAGGAUGACGGCCCUAGGGUUGUAAACUCCUGUCAUCAGGGAGUAAGACUUAUUCGUUAAUAGCGUGUAAGUUUGAUAGUACCUGAAGAGGAAGGGACGGCUAACUUCGUGCCAGCAGCCGCGGUAAUACGAAGGUCCCAAGCGUUGUUCGGAAUAACUGGGCGUAAAGCGUGUGUAGGCCGCGCGGAAAGUCGGAUGUGAAAGCCCAAGGCUCAACCUUGGAACUGCAUCCGAUACUCCCGUGCUAGAGUAAUGGAGAGGUAAGUGGAAUUCUCGGUGUAGCAGUGAAAUGCGUAGAUAUCGAGAGGAACAUCAAUGGCGAAGGCAACUUACUGGACAUUCACUGACGCUCAGACACGAAGGCUAGGGUAGCGAAAGGGAUUAGAUACCCCUGUAGUCCUAGCAGUAAACGGUGCUCGCUUGGUGUGGGAGGGUUCGACCCCUUCUGUGCCGGAGCUAACGCGUUAAGCGAGCCGCCUGGGAAGUACGGUCGCAAGACUAAAACUCAAAGAAAUUGACGGGGACCCGCACAAGCGGUGGAGUAUGUGGCUUAAUUCGAUGCAACGCGAAGAACCUUACCUAGGCUUGACAUGCUUGUCGUAUUCUCCCGAAAAGGAGAAGUCGCUUCGGGCGGACAAUGCACAGGUGCUGCAUGGCCGUCG